AUUGUAUGACGCAUUGGUUACGAUUUUGCAUAAUCAUCUACGGGGGUGAUCUUGCGACAACUUUCGAAGACAAGUGUUUAACACCAUUCAACCGGAAAUCAGAAAUAUGAAGCCACGAGAUUUUAAAUUUGCAAUCAGAUAAUCCAGGGCCAGUCGCGCUAUUGUGACAAAAGUGCGACAUAGGUACGACUUAAUUAAAAUAAUUAAUCAAGAAGAACGUAAAAAUACGUAAACAAAUUAUGCAUGGUUUGUAAAUUUGGUAAACAAAAUUUCAAUGUUGGCUAACAAAUUCUGCAACCAAGAAAUGUGCCAAUUUAUGGACCCAAAAAUCAAAUGUAGUACAUACAUGGAUUUAUUUAUAUAUAUUUA